UAAAUUGGCCAGUUUUCCAAGAUAUUUCAGAGGAUGAGUUGUGCCUGCCAGAGACUGUGCUAUUUUGUGUGCCUUAAAGUGGGUUAAUUCUGAUUGGACAGAGCAGUGACCUGUCUGGACCCAGUGCCCACACCCCACCCCCACCCUGCAACGAGGUGGAUGCCAAGGCCAAGCAGCGGUAGGACACCGGGAACUCACUGGCAUUUAACAUCCAUGGCUUUCUGAUGAUUGAAACUACAGCUGAUGCUGAGCCUCACUUCUGCUCCCAUUUCAGCCCCGACCUAUUUUUAGGGCAAAGAACUUGAGACUUUAUAUUGGAAGUUAAAUUUAGUGAGGGUGAAAUAGGGAGCUCAUGGAAACUCUCUUCCCAUUCAAAACACAUUGUCAGGCUUGGAGAAAAUGCAAAAAGAACAUAAAGAAGUGACAGUGAAGAGAAGAAAAAAGAGGACCAGUUGGAAGGCUAGAUCUGAUCCUUGGCUGAAUUCCAUUUGGCCGGUGAGACAAGCUCUCAGAUCUGACUUGAUUUAGGGCUGCAACAAUGAAGAUGCAAUAAAGUAUUGCAGACACUUAAUGGCAAUGCUCUAUAUUAAAAGAUGAAGACAGGAUGGUUUAUGCUUCCCCAAGAGUAGACAGGGCACUUCAAAAAGAGGAAAUAGUCAGUGUGACUCACGUUUCCCAGACUCUGCCCCGUAGGAGCACAGACAAGGGGCGGGGACAGGAACACGCUUCUGACUUACUGCUCCCUCAGGGCUCACCUCCAAGAUGCCAGGGUGCCUUGCUUCACCAGCUCGGGGUAAAAUUAUUAUUCAGAUCCGCCUCUAAGUCAUCUACCACUUGAAUGCAUUUUCUUCUCUCCACGGUGGCCCUCCCCCCGUGAUAAAUCCCCAGACUCAGAGGUUGUCUUAGUUCAAAGAGCCAGAUUUGCUUUAUCUUGGCUGGAGUCAGAAUUUAGCUUCAUCCCCAGGAGGCUAGAAGAUAACUACUACUUACUAGGUACAGAUUGGUCCCUGCUAAAGGCAGUCUGGGCUCCCAACAAGGUCAUUUUUGUUACUCGGGUCUCAGUUUACAAACACACACACACACUCACUCUCUCUUCACUGUGCCCAGAGUAGCCCCUUCCUGAUAGAAUUCAGGCGGUGCUGCGGCCCCUGGUGACCAGCAUAACCUCCUCUUCCCCAGCCUCCCCUGCCUCCCUUUCCACCAAGGUGAUCCCCCUGGGGUCCCCCUAGUCAAGUCUUUUGAUCAUCUGACCUCAGCGAGACACCCUGUCCCCCUGGAUGUUUUGUAAUGUUGGCUGACUUCCAAAGGGACGGGGUGAGGGGCGCUGCUGCGUCUGGCUUUUCAGGAGGCUCCGUGGAUUUUAUGCAAAUUUGUGAACCUCUGCACCGGAACCUUUAAGAUCCAUCUACCGAAACGAAUUACACCCUUUCAAUGGAGCAGCGGAUGCCUGUCUGCCGUGAGCUGCAUGAAAUAAGAGGCCAUGCAAAGGCUUCUAGAAGACCUGCUCCAAGAUGACGUGCUGCCUCCACCAUUUGGUCCCUGCUGUGCUCCUCCAGGGUCUUGCCAGUCUGGGAGAGAGGAGGUGUGACGGAUAACCGGCAUGGCCCUGCCAGGGGAGCUGCUGCUAACAGGGAACCAGGGGCCUCUUGCCGGCAGCUGCCCUUGAAGGCUGGGCCAGAUGCCAGACCUCACCAACCAAGUCACAGGCACCGUCCUGGUGUUCCUGCUGAUGUACCCGGAUUUAAAUCCUCCACCUCCGGGGGUGGGGGCACUCGACAGCAAGCCCCCUGGUGUGACUCUUUCUUCCAAAGCAAAUUCAAGGCGCUGUUUCUGGGAGGUGGAAGAUGACUCAAUAAACAGCACUCCUCUCUCUCUCAUCCCUUACUUGUGUCAACCAACUAAAAAAGAAGAGCGGUAGCAUAAAGAACCCACAACAUCACUUAUUUCAUUUCUGGUGAGGCCGAUGAAGCAUGUGACUUAUGUUAAUGGACAAGCAGAACUCCUGUUGCCAAACCCCAGAGUAAGACUUGCCCACUCAGUCAUGGAAAGACCUGAGUCAUUGCAGCCUCCUCACCUGGCAGCCUGUCCUUAUGGAGUAGAAUGACUGUCCUUUACUGGAUGUUUGCACCCAAGGAAAGAAAGAAAGAUGGGGCCAGGCUCCUUAUUCCUAGAUCACUUGUCAGAAUAAUCACUUCUGCUCCACCAGGGAAGACCUGUUCUCACACAGCCCCUCUGACUUGCCUCAUGCAAUCCCAGCCCUAUCAAAUCCUGUCUUUAGUUAAAAUUUUGGUAUUUUUUUAUCACAAGUUUUUUCAUUAACUAUACAUUUUUUGAAUAUUGCAUUAAGAUAUUAUUCAUCUUGAUUCCUAAGGUUUUUAGCUCCCCCUUAAGUUUUACACCUGAAAGAAAUGACUUACCCACCUCACCCUAGGCUCAGACCUGAUUUUAAA